rnacentral:rRNA from 1 species
GGUCCCACGGACUGAGUGUGGGAUCUGGCCUGCCCCAUGAUUUGGUGGAGUUAAAUGGCCGCAGUAUUUUGACUGUGCAAAGGUAGCAUAAUCAUUAGUUCCUUAAUUGGGAUCUGGUAUGAAGGGUUGGACAAGGAAAAGACUGUCUAGAAGAUAAUAAAUCUGAAUUUUAUUUUUAAGUGAAAAGGCUUAAAUGAUCUUGGGGGACGAUAAGACCCUGUAGAGCUUUAUUUUUGUUUGUUAUUGUUUUGGUAGGCAGAAAUUUUGUUGGGGUGACAGGGAGACAUAAUUAACUCUCAUUUAUAAGGUUUAUUUUUUGAUAUUUGGUGGAUCCAUUGUUAGUGAUAGUAGGAGUAAGUUACCUCAGGGAUAACAGCGUAAUUUUUUCUGAGAGUUCUUAUCGGAGAGAAAGUUUGCGACCUCGAUGUUGGAUUAAGGAGUUUUGGUGGUGGAGGAGCUGCUACGGAGGGUCUGUUCGACCCUUAAAUCUUUACA